AGCAGCCGCGGUAAAUUCCAGCUCCAAUAGCGUAUAUUAAAGUUGUUGCAGUUAAAAAGCUCGUAGUUGAAGUUCGGGGUGGAGAUAGGGGUCGCCUCAAACGGGGUCGUACUCCUAUCUUCCGCUCUCUACCUUCUGAGGAACCGGUGAUGUACUUUAUUGUGCGUUGUCGGGGAGUCAGGACUGUUACCUUGAAAAAAUUAGAGUGUUUAAAGCAGGCUAUCGCUUGAAUACAUUAGCAUGGAAUAAUGAAAUAGGACGGCUGGUUCUAUUUCGUUGGUUUCUAGGACCACCGUAAUGAUUAAUAGGGAUAGUUGGGGGCAUUAGUAUUCAAUUGUCAGAGGUGAAAUUCUUGGAUUUAUUGAAGACUAACUUCUGCGAAAGCAUUUGCCAAGGAUGU
rnacentral:rRNA from 1 species